UACGAAGGGGGGCUAGCGUUGCUCGGAAUCACUGGGCGUAAAGGGUGCGUAGGCGGGUCUUUUAAGUCAGGGGUGAAAUCCUGGAGCUCAACUCCAGAACUGCCUUUGAUACUGAGGAUCUUGAGUUCGGGAGAGGUGAGUGGAACUGCGAGUGUAGAGGUGAAAUUCGUAGAUAUUGGGAGGAACACCAGUGGCGAAGGCGGCUCACUGGACUGGUACUGACGCUGAUGCGCGAAAGCGUGGGGAGCAAACAGG
rnacentral:rRNA from 1 species